rnacentral:rRNA from 1 species
UACAGAGGUCUCAAGCGUUGUUCGGAUUCAUUGGGCGUAAAGGGUGCGUAGGCGGCCUGCUAAGUCGAACGUGAAAUCCCCGGGCUCAACCCGGGAACUGCGUCCGAUACUGGCAGGCUUGAAUCCGGGAGAGGGAUGUGGAAUUCCAGGUGUAGCGGUGAAAUGCGUAGAUAUCUGGAGGAACACCGGUGGCGAAGGCGGCAUCCUGGACCGGUAUUGACGCUGAUGCGCGAAAGCCAGGGGGAGCAAACGGGG